rnacentral:tRNA from 1 species
AGGAUUAUAGUUUAUAACUAAAACUUUUGAUUUGCAUUCAAAUAAUAUUGAAUUUUUCAAUUUAUCUUA